AGUGAUGUCUUUGCUUUGGGGGCACAGGAGGAGCCCCAGGCAGGUGCUGCUGCCCCUGUCCCCUCUGAGCCGGGAGCUGAGCUGUCCCCACUCUGACAGGUAUUUACAAGGGGGUUGAACAGGUAAUUAGUGGCCAGUCCUGGCUGCGGGAAACCCUCCUGCUCAUCCCGCCCAGCACGGGCAGUGACGGGAGCGCUGAUUUUCGACGGCUGAUUGAGCCUGAACAAAGACCCCAAACAGCACCGAGUGCCCGACCCGGGGAUGGACGGAAUUUUCUUGGGAAGCAGGGAAACCCUUGAAUAUGCUAUAAAAGAAACUCGUGUGUAUAAGGAAACCCAUUCUGUGAAUUCACCUGUUGCCAGCCAAGGAGAAAUGUUUGGUGUUUUAUUUCAAUCAAGAAUUUGUUGUGUAUCUGGUGCUUUAUCUAACCUCACUCUUUGAAAGAUUUGAUGUAAUGCUUGGCAGAGCUCUUAGGUUCAAGCUGCUUUAUUAUGCUAUGCUCUGUAAGUUUUGACAUUUUAGACUGAUGGUAUUGAGGGAAUAAAAAUAUAGACUGAAAUCCUCACAGAAUGGGUAAGGUGCACUUCAUGUGGCCCAAAUGAAUCUUGAAUAUUUUAAUCAUGUUUAUUUAAGCACUCAAUGCCAUUAAAAAAAUAAACCCCACCACUUUUCUUCUAUAAGCAAAGUCUUAGAGGUGAGCACAUCUGUGGCUAUCAGGAUGAUCAUUUCUGGCCAUGACCAGCAACUACAUCACCUGCAUGUCUUUCUCUGCAGAUGCAGAAACCCAACAAACCCUGUGUUAGCAGUCUCCAGCUGAGGAAAUUUGCCAUGGUGCUAUUAGUAUAAAACAUUUCCAUAUCCUCAGUGUUGGUUUAAACUCUGUCAGCUCAGUGGAGUUCUCCUAAAGUCUGAGCAAUGCAGCUACUUCAGGUGAAACAGGAAUGGACGAUGUCAGGCAGAGCCAUUUGCCUCAACCACCAUUUUUAUCAAGCCUUGUCUCCCAGCCUUUAUUUUUUAACUUUAUACAGAGGUAUCCUGUAUCAGAAGAAUUUGAUGGGGAGUCUCAGCUCCUCAGUAUCUGUUUAGUGCCAUUAUAAACAUGGAUCAGCAUCUGCAGUCUUGACCACUUUUAUUUAUUUUUUUUUAAUUUAAGGUUUUUCUCUUGUCUUUGAGCCAGGUACAGGGACGAUUGCCACAGAAAUCUUUUAGUGUUUUUGGGCGGUGCUUGGGGAUACUCAAAGUAUGUCUUUAAUCAAAUUGCCUUCCAGAUUACUCAUACUACACUCACUCCUUUGUCUGGUCAGGAUCAUAUCAAAUGUAAUUGUCCUUCUUUUCCUGCAAUAAGGAAGAAACUAAAGGAAGAGUCACUUGUACUGUGUACAAAUGGAUUUUGGAUCUUCAUAUGUGUGGGACUUAAUAUAUUUUGUGAUGACUUUAAUUAUGACUAAUGUGAUGCUAUAACAAAAUGCAGCUAUAACUGUGCUAAGAGUUCAGGAAACAGAAAAAACAUUUGACUCACAGGAAGGUUUUAAAUAUCUUGCUGAAAGCUCCUGGACCUGGGCUCCCAGAUCUCCCUCUGCAGAGCACACUUUAUCUUUGGACGUACCUUUAAAGACUUUAAACAGCUUGAGACUUGUAGUUUGCCGCAGGAGCUUAGAGAAAAUUCCUGUUUCUAGAUUUUAAACCCUGAGCUGGAGUACAAGAGACCUGCUCAGGAAGGCAAGGAAAGGUGUAACAAGGUCAUUUUGAACCACAUACAUUCAGGUUGUACUUUCAAAGUAAAUUCUAAAUUUAAUUGAAAGCUGAGGGCAAGGGAGGGAGGGUAGCACUGAUGUGCUGGCUUAUUUUGAAGUGUGUGAGGAGCUGUGCUGUUGAGUGCUCGAUGAGCUGCAGUCUUAAUAAAAUGGCACUGGAAAGUUGGCAGGGAGAAGGGCUGGGUGAGCUGAAGGAGGAGGUUUGGGGUGGUGCCUGGUGAUGUCCAUCUGUGCAGGCUUUCCCUGGGGUCUGCUGUUUUCUCAAGCUGCUGGCAGCACUUGACCAUGUGAAUGAUGGUGAUGAAGUUGCCUGUUUGACUGAAACCUCCAAAAGAAUUUUGUGGGGGAUUUAUUGUGCUGGAAAAGUGAUGAAUGAACAGAACCAACCAGAUGUGGCUGUUUGAAAAUGGAACUGGAAAAUGGAAUAAUUUUACUGAAUUUUUUGUGCAGCUUAAUAAAACUUCUCCCAUCCA